UACGUAGGGUGCAAGCGUUAAUCGGAAUUACUGGGCGUAAAGCGUGCGCAGGCGGUUAUGUAAGAAAGAUGUGAAAUCCCCGGGCUCAACCUGGGAACUGCAUUUGUGACUGCAUAGCUAGAGUACGGUAGAGGGGGAUGGAAUUCCGCGUGUAGCAGUGAAAUGCGUAGAUAUGCGGAGGAACACCGAUGGCGAAGGCAAUCCCCUGGACCUGUACUGACGCUCAUGCACGAAAGCGUGGGGAGCAAACAGG
rnacentral:rRNA from 1 species